UACGAAGGGGGCUAGCGUUGCUCGGAAUCACUGGGCGUAAAGCGCACGUAGGCGGAUUGUUAAGUCAGGGGUGAAAUCCUGGAGCUCAACUCCAGAACUGCCUUUGAUACUGGCGAUCUUGAGUCCGGGAGAGGUGAGUGGAACUGCGAGUGUAGAGGUGAAAUUCGUAGAUAUUCGCAAGAACACCAGUGGCGAAGGCGGCUCACUGGCCCGGUAC
rnacentral:rRNA from 1 species